rnacentral:SRP_RNA from 1 species
CCGUGUUAGCGGGAGCGUGUCCGCAGUGCAAGUCGCGACCGAGCGUUUCCCUUGUAGACCAUUGCCAAAAACCGGUCUUUAAACUAUAAUAUGCGGGAAAGCUUAAUUGCCUCGGAUUAGCUUCGCCGGUCCAGCCGGGCCCUGCGCAAUAAGAAUCUGUGAACCUCGUCAGGUCCGGAAGGAAGCAGCGAUAAGCGGAAGCUCUUAUGUGCCGCAGACAAGUCUGGUUCGUCAUCGGCGGGGCUAAUCCGGGGCAAUUUUACGG